rnacentral:lncRNA from 1 species
AUCCAUCCUACACAUUAGAAAGAAUAAGUGUAGUUCAUUGUAUGCUGAGUAAAGAAAUAGAGAAGCAAAGAGGUUUUGUUUAUCCCCAGGAAAGAAAGAUGGAGAAUUCCAUAAACUGCUUAAAAGAAGGAAGAUAAAAGUUUGAAAUGUCGAGAGUGUGUUUUAUAUCACACGUGAGCACUGCAUAGCAUAGAAGUUUUCAACCACUUUAAUUUUGCCCACAAAGAAGGCCAAGACACUUUCUGUAUCUGCAUAAUUUGAUAACAUCAGGCACUGUUACUGGAGAACUUUCAACUACUCUGGGUAAUGCCAAAGAUACAUUUCACUAAAACAGUAAUUAUGCUUCUGGACCUUUGCCUGGUAAAAUGGAAAAGAUAUAAAAUAUGUGAUUUACACAUUUACACAUGUGAAUUUGUUUCCUUGGAUUUGACUUCAUAAAAAGUACCACCAGAUCUUCAAAAUAAUCUCUCAUUCUGAGUAAAUUAAAGCAGGCUGCCCAGCUUACUGUGUGUCCAGCUGGCUAAAGGCUUAAACAGGAAAGAGACUCAAGGAGAUUCUGUGGUAGGUAUAAGAUAAACAUGCUCUUGUUUAUGUUUUGCUGAUACUCUGGUUGUUUAGAAGUUGGGGAAUUUUUUUCCUUGCUUUGGGCUGUUCUUUUAAAAAAACCAAACAAUCAUCCAGUGCGCCUUGUGGCUUUGAUCUUUGUUUUUAUAUUUUGUUAUACAAGGCUCAAAGUCUUACAGUUUGUUGUGUUUCAUACUUUGCCAGAUCAUCCCCUUUCUAUAUAUAUUGCCUACAGAUGGCUGGAAGUAAAAAAUAAAGGAAAGGUAGAGUGUCUUAAAAACUGACA